UGCCGGAGAAGGGAGCUGCGUCUCUGUGAUUCUGGCCACCAGAAAAUGUCACUGCCGUCGCCGAAAAACUCUGCCGUCGCUAUCGCCAGAGUCUGGUCGCCACUUCCGCUCGAGGUGGUUGCCGGGGCUGCCGGCAAACCGGUACAGCUACCGCCGCUGUUUCAUUUUCUUAGUUCGGUUCGAAUUCUGCAUGUUGAAUACCGCUUUUAAGUUGCUGUGAGUGCUGCGAAAGUGAUCAGGGGCUGAGUUUGUGGAUUGCUGUUGAAUUCGGUUAAGAGAAAAGGUUUCGUAAUGCAUUUUGAGGUUAUGGUUUCGA